GAUUAACGCUAGCGGCGGGCCUAAUACAUGCAAGUCGAGGGGUAAAUAGGUAGCAAUACUUAUGAGACCGGCGCACGGGUGCGUAACACGUUUGCAAUCUACCUCUAACUGGGGGAUAGCCUUCCGAAAGGAAGAUUAAUACCGCAUAAUACUAUGAAGGGGCAUCUCUUUAUAGUCAAAACUCCGGUGGUUAGAGAUGAGCAUGCGCGACAUUAGCUAGUUGGUGAGGUAAUGGCUCACCAAGGCUACGAUGUCUAGGGGGUCUGAGAGGAUGAUC
rnacentral:rRNA from 1 species